AAGAAAAAAUCACUCAUGGCCCAAAAAAGAAUUUCAUAGAACUUAUAGUAAAAUCAAAAUGAAUGAUACAUACAAUCAAAAUUUUCAACUGACAUCUAUUGAUUUAAUACAACCAGGUAAAGAGGCAGACAACCAUCUGAUAUCUAUGAAGCAAAUGAACUAGCAAUAUACUAGAAAUAUCAACAAUUGCAAUCAACAAAGGCAACAGGCUCCAUUGAAGUCCCCAUUUUAAAU
rnacentral:lncRNA from 1 species